AAGAGAGACAGAGAGACAGAGGGAGAGGGGCAAUGAAAAAAUGUGAAGUCCAAACUCUUUAGUUAGUCUUAAAAACAUCUCCUGAAGAUGUCUGAAGAUGUUUUGAAUCUUUAUUGAAUGAGAGAAGAUGACUAAGGCGAGAUAUGUCUCUGGAGGUUUGUACAUGUCGUGGAGAUGUCUUCUCAAAGUAUAGAAACUUAUGUGAGAUAUUUUAUUGAUGGGUAGUUCAAGUGAAGUUAAGCUUACACCGUGGAUAGGAGGCAAGAAAAAGGAAAUAGAGAGGAAACGUAACAUAAAGCUGCACAUAUGGGACACAGCACAAUAUAGAGAGAUGGAGAAAAGGAAGUGAUAUAGUGUUAUUGUGAUAGUAUAAAGUGAUAGUGAUAUAGAGGUAGAAAGAUUGAGAGAGAGAGAGAGAGAUAGAAGAGCAGAGAUGAAAAGUGAGAGGUGACUCUGCUUAAAAGUGCAUGGCUUUCCCUUCACACAUCAGCCCCCAUUUUACUUUGAUUAAUAAUUGACUGAUGAACAAACACCAUGUGAAAUGAUACAAGUCCUCUAUCCAUCAUUCAAGAGGGUCGGGGAUAGGGGGGAUGAGGGGGUUGGCAAAGAGAAGAGUAAGAAUAGUUACAAGAUGUAUAUGACUCAGCAUUCAAACCACAAGGAAUGGCUGGGGUAGGGAUGAGGAAUGCAUGGAAUGAAAACAAAAAUAAGGAAAGAUAGAGGUAUGAUUAUAGAGAAAAAGAAGAAAAGUGUGCGUUGAUAUCAUUCGCUGAAAGCCAGAAGGACGCUAGCUUGUGCACUCCGUAGAGUUAACAUCCUUCUGGCUCUCAGCAAUUUGCAAACAAAACAAUGAGAUCAAUUGUUGAAAAUUUUAAUGAGUUAUGACUGAUUUAUCUUCUUCUGAAGACAGUGGAGAGAGCAGGGAAUAGUCAUAUUCAGAAUUAAUAAAUCUAUUUCUGCAAAAUUACAAAUUUUAAUUAUUAUAUUUUCCACCAAAUAUAUAUCAUGAUAGUAAUGUGUCAUGGGCAAAAUGGCCCCAUAUAUAUUGAAGAGAACAGAAAGGAAGAGAUCUCAAAUGUCAUUUUUUACAUG